rnacentral:rRNA from 1 species
UACGAGAGGCCCAAACGUUAUUCGGAAUUACUGGGCUUAAAGAGUUCGUAGGCGGCGCAGAAAGUGGGGUGUGAAAGCCCUCGGCUCAACCGAGGAAUUGCGCUCCAAACUACUGUGCUUGAGGAAGCUAGAGGUGAGCAGAACUGAUGGUGGAGCGGUGAAAUGCGUUGAUAUCAUCAGGAAUACCGGAGGCGAAGGCGGCUCACUGGGGCUUUUCUGACGCUGAGGAACGGAAAGCCAGGGGAGCGAACGGGG